AGAAGGGCGGUCUUGUGGUUAAGACUCUGGACUGGGGUUCAGGAGACCUGGGCUCAAUUCCCAGCUCUGCGA
rnacentral:tRNA from 1 species